rnacentral:rRNA from 1 species
UACCAUUUGAAGGACGCAGUCCUUGAUGGUGGCCUCCCGUUCCAAAGAGCAUACGGGAUGACGUUGUUCGUGUACAACAGCACGAACAUGCACGUUAACAGCAUGUUCAACGAGGCCAUGAAGAACCAUUCAACCAUCAUCACCAAGAAGCUCCUUGAGUUCUACAUGGGGUUUGACAGUGUGGGCACCCUUGUUGAUGUCGCCGGUGGUGUGGGUGCAACCAUCCACACCAUCACCUCCAAGUACCCGCACAUCAAGGGGGUCAACUUUGACUUGCCCCACGUUAUCUCUGAUGCGCCGUCCUUCCCUGGUGUGGAGCAUGUCGGGGGUGACAUGUUCGAGAAGGUGCCCUCCGGCGAUGCCAUCCUCCUAAAGUGGAUCCUUCAUGACUGGACUAACAAGCAUUGCACGAAUCUACUAAGGAACUGCUUUGACGCACUCCCUGUUCACGGCAAGGUCAUCGUCAUGGAAGGCAUCUUGCCGUUGAAACCAGACUCAACAUCCAGGGGGCAGCUGAUGUUCUUAGGUGACAUGAUCGUGCUCAUGCACACCCCAGGUGGCAAGGAGAGGCAACAGAGGGAGUUCGAGGAGCUUGCAAGGGGUGCAGGGUUCACCAGUGUCAAGACCACUCACAUCUACGGAAAUGCGUGGGUCAUUGAAUUCAUCAAAUAA